GAUGAACGCUGGCGGCGUGCUUAACACAUGCAAGUCGAACGGAAAGGCCCAAGCUUGCUUGGGUACUCGAGUGGCGAACGGGUGAGUAACACGUGGGUGAUCUGCCCUGCACUUCGGGAUAAGCCUGGGAAACUGGGUCUAAUACCGGAUAGGACGAUGGUUUGGAUGCCAUUGUGGAAAGUUUUUUCGGUGUGGGAUGAGCUCGCGGCCUAUCAGCUUGUUGGUGGGGUAAUGGCCUACCAAGGCGUCGACGGGUAGCCGGCCUAAGAGGGUGUACGGCCACACUGGGACUGAGAGACGGCCCAGACUCCGACGGAAGGCAGAAGUGGGGCAUACUGCACAAUGCGCGCAAGCCUGAUGCAGCGACGCCGCGUGGGGGAUGACGGCCUUCGGGGUGUAAACACCUUUCGCUAGGGACGAAGCGUUUUUGUGACGGUACCUGGAGAAGAAGCACCGGCUAACUACGUG
rnacentral:rRNA from 1 species